CCUUCACCUGGCUCCCAGGGCACCACCAUCAAAUGCGCUGAAUCUUCGAGAUUUGGAUCAAGCAUCGCUUUGCCAACAUGUUCAUGAUAGAACGUUAGAGGGGUGAGCGACUUGGCUAAAUUGGUGAGUGGCUCUAGGGUCAGUUAACUACAACUUGGGCCUUUCUUAUUAAGAGUGGAGGAAGCAGACGAAUCGGGCGAUGGAGGGGGCCAGGGGAGUUACGCUUCAUAUUGGCGAAUCAUUCCCCCAUAUUGAGUACUAUAGGAGGCAUAUCUGCAUGUCUGAACUCAUCAACGUUAGGGGACUAUGCAGUAGGUCUCGGAGCAAUCCUGUCGGGCUGCUCUAAGAGAAAUUCGAGUAGCUCUGGGAGAGGCACUUAGGCACUCGGGCCCAGACUGACGCCAGCAACAGUGGUAGUCAGUCUGUCACUGUGCGGUCUGAGUAUGAGCUUUGGACCCAGGCGGAAGAAAGGAAGAAGAAAGGUUUAUGGCCUUGGAGUGAAGGGCAUAGCCUUCGAGGUCGAGCUCUACUUUGGUCCCGUUCUUAGUUCUCUGAGCUUUUCACAGUCAGACCAUGAGGCUCUUGUCAGGCAAGUGGCUGCAAAGAACGAAGAGAUUCACCAAUUGUGUGAGCAGAUGCUACAAAGCCACAUAGAGUGAAGGGCUCUAUAGCACGCAUGACGAAGACCUUAGCAGAUAGCAGGGCAAGCAACCAAUGACAUCCAUGCCAGAGGAGGAGGAUGGAGAUGGUGAGUAGUUUUUCUUAUGUUUUUUUUUAUUUGUAAACAUUA